rnacentral:rRNA from 1 species
GGGUUGUGAGGUUAAGCGACUAAGCGUACACGGUGGAUGCCCUGGCAGUCAGAGGCGAUGAAGGACGUGCUAAUCUGCGAUAAGCGUCGGUGAGGUGAUAUGAACCGUUAUAACCGGCGAUUUCCGAAUGGGGAAACCCAGUGUGUUUCGACACACUAUCAUUAACUGAAUCCAUAGGUUAAUGAGGCGAACCGGGGGAACUGAAACAUCUAAGUACCCCGAGGAAAAGAAAUCAACCGAGAUUCCCCCAGUAGCGGCGAGCGAACGGGGAGGAGCCCAGAGCCUGAAUCAGUGUGUGUGUUAGUGGAAGCGUCUGGAAAGGCGCGCGAUACAGGGUGACAGCCCCGUACACAAAAAUGCACAUACUGUGAGCUCGAUGAGUAGGGCGGGACACGUGGUAUCCUGUCUGAAUAUGGGGGGACCAUCCUCCAAGGCUAAAUACUCCUGACUGACCGAUAGUGAACCAGUACCGUGAGGGAAAGGCGAAAAGAACCCCGGCGAGGGGAGUGAAAAAGAACCUGAAACCGUGUACGUACAAGCAGUGGGAGCCUCUUAAUGGGGUGACUGCGUACCUUUUGUAUAAUGGGUCAGCGACUUAUAUUCUGUAGCAAGGUUAACCGAAUAGGGGAGCCGAAGGGAAACCGAGUCUUAACUGGGCGUUAAGUUGCAGGGUAUAGACCCGAAACCCGGUGAUCUAGCCAUGGGCAGGUUGAAGGUUGGGUAACACUAACUGGAGGACCGAACCGACUAAUGUUGAAAAAUUAGCGGAUGACUUGUGGCUGGGGGUGAAAGGCCAAUCAAACCGGGAGAUAGCUGGUUCUCCCCGAAAGCUAUUUAGGUAGCGCCUCGUGAAUUCAUCUCCGGGGGUAGAGCACUGUUUCGGCAAGGGGGUCAUCCCGACUUACCAACCCGAUGCAAACUGCGAAUACCGGAGAAUGUUAUCACGGGAGACACACGGCGGGUGCUAACGUCCGUCGUGAAGAGGGAAACAACCCAGACCGCCAGCUAAGGUCCCAAAGUCAUGGUUAAGUGGGAAACGAUGUGGGAAGGCCCAGACAGCCAGGAUGUUGGCUUAGAAGCAGCCAUCAUUUAAAGAAAGCGUAAUAGCUCACUGGUCGAGUCGGCCUGCGCGGAAGAUGUAACGGGGCUAAACCAUGCACCGAAGCUGCGGCAGCGACGCUUAUGCGUUGUUGGGUAGGGGAGCGUUCUGUAAGCCUGUGAAGGUGGCCUGUGAGGGUUGCUGGAGGUAUCAGAAGUGCGAAUGCUGACAUAAGUAACGAUAAAGCGGGUGAAAAGCCCGCUCGCCGGAAGACCAAGGGUUCCUGUCCAACGUUAAUCGGGGCAGGGUGAGUCGACCCCUAAGGCGAGGCCGAAAGGCGUAGUCGAUGGGAAACAGGUUAAUAUUCCUGUACUUGGUGUUACUGCGAAGGGGGGACGGAGAAGGCUAUGUUGGCCGGGCGACGGUUGUCCCGGUUUAAGCGUGUAGGCUGGUUUUCCAGGCAAAUCCGGAAAAUCAAGGCUGAGGCGUGAUGACGAGGCACUACGGUGCUGAAGCGACAAAUGCCCUGCUUCCAGGAAAAGCCUCUAAGCAUCAGGUAACAUCAAAUCGUACCCCAAACCGACACAGGUGGUCAGGUAGAGAAUACCAAGGCGCUUGAGAGAACUCGGGUGAAGGAACUAGGCAAAAUGGUGCCGUAACUUCGGGAGAAGGCACGCUGAUAUGUAGGUGAAGCGACUUGCUCGUGGAGCUGAAAUCAGUCGAAGAUACCAGCUGGCUGCAACUGUUUAUUAAAAACACAGCACUGUGCAAACACGAAAGUGGACGUAUACGGUGUGACGCCUGCCCGGUGCCGGAAGGUUAAUUGAUGGGGUUAGCGGUAACGCGAAGCUCUUGAUCGAAGCCCCGGUAAACGGCGGCCGUAACUAUAACGGUCCUAAGGUAGCGAAAUUCCUUGUCGGGUAAGUUCCGACCUGCACGAAUGGCGUAAUGAUGGCCAGGCUGUCUCCACCCGAGACUCAGUGAAAUUGAACUCGCUGUGAAGAUGCAGUGUACCCGCGGCAAGACGGAAAGACCCCGUGAACCUUUACUAUAGCUUGACACUGAACAUUGAGCCUUGAUGUGUAGGAUAGGUGGGAGGCUUUGAAGUGUGGACGCCAGUCUGCAUGGAGCCGACCUUGAAAUACCACCCUUUAAUGUUUGAUGUUCUAACGUGGGCCCCUUACCGGGGUUGCGGACAGUGUCUGGUGGGUAGUUUGACUGGGGCGGUCUCCUCCUAAAGAGUAACGGAGGAGCACGAAGGUUGGCUAAUCCUGGUCGGACAUCAGGAGGUUAGUGCAAUGGCAUAAGCCAGCUUGACUGCGAGCGUGACGGCGCGAGCAGGUGCGAAAGCAGGUCAUAGUGAUCCGGUGGUUCUGAAUGGAAGGGCCAUCGCUCAACGGAUAAAAGGUACUCCGGGGAUAACAGGCUGAUACCGCCCAAGAGUUCAUAUCGACGGCGGUGUUUGGCACCUCGAUGUCGGCUCAUCACAUCCUGGGGCUGAAGUAGGUCCCAAGGGUAUGGCUGUUCGCCAUUUAAAGUGGUACGCGAGCUGGGUUUAGAACGUCGUGAGACAGUUCGGUCCCUAUCUGCCGUGGGCGCUGGAGAACUGAGGGGGGCUGCUCCUAGUACGAGAGGACCGGAGUGGACGCAUCACUGGUGUUCGGGUUGUCAUGCCAAUGGCACUGCCCGGUAGCUAAAUGCGGAAGAGAUAAGUGCUGAAAGCAUCUAAGCACGAAACUUGCCCCGAGAUGAGUUCUCCCUGAGACUUAGAGUCUCCUGAAGGAACGUUGAAGACGACGACGUUGAUAGGCCGGGUGUGUAAGCGCAGCGAUGCGUUGAGCUAACCGGUACUAAUGAACCGUGAGGCUUAACCUUACAACGCCGAAG